rnacentral:rRNA from 1 species
UCCGUAGGUGAACCUGCGGAAGGAUCAUUAACGAAUAUCUAUGGCGUUGGUUGUAGCUGGCUCCUAGGAGCAUUGUGCACGCCCGUCAUUCAUAUCUUUCCACCUGUGAACCAUUUGUAGGCCUGGAUACCCCUCGCUUUGGCAACAAAGCGGAUGCAAGGAUUGCUGCGUCGACAAGGCCGGCUCUCUUUGAAUUUCCAGGUUCUAUGUCUUUUACACACCCCAUUCGAAUGAUUUAGAAUGUAGUCAAUGGGCUUUCAUGCCUAUAAAAAACUAUACAACUUUCARCAACGGAUCUCUUGGCUCUCGCAUCGAUGAAGAACGCASCGAAAUGCGAUAAGUAAUGUGAAUUGCAGAAUUCAGUGAAUCAUCGAAUCUUUGAACGCACCUUGCGCUCCUUGGUAUUCCGAGGAGCAUGCCUGUUUGAGUGUCAUUAAAUUCUCAACCUCACCAGUUUUGUAACGAGACAGGUGAAGGCUUGGAUGUGGGGGUUUUGCAGGCUGCCUCAGUGCUGGUCUGCUCCCCUGAAAUGCAUUAGCGAGCUCAUACUGAGCUUCCGUCUAUUGGUGUGAUAAUUAUCUACGCCGUGGAUUGGACUCAUGCUUGCUUCUAACCCGUCCGCAAGGACAAUUUACUUUGACCAAUUUGACCCUCAAAUCAGGUAGGACUACCCGCUGAAACUUAAUUGCAUAUCAAUAAGCGGAGGA